ACCUGGGAACUGCAUUGGUGACUGGCAGGCUAGAGUAUGGCAGAGGGGGGUAGAAUUCCACGUGUAGCAGUGAAAUGCGUAGAGAUGUGGAGGAAUACCGAUGGCGAAGGCAGCCCCCUGGGCCAAUACUGACGCUCAUGCACGAAAGCGUGGGGAGCAAACAGGAUUAGAUACCCUGGUAGUCCACGCCCUAAACGAUGUCAACUAGUUGUUGGGGAUUCAUUUCCUUAGUAACGUAGCUAACGCGUGAAGUUGACCGCCUGGGGAGUACGGUCGCAAGAUUAAAACUCAAAGGAAUUGACGGGGACCCGCACAAGCGGUGGAUGAUGUGGAUUAAUUCGAUGCAACGCGAAAAACCUUACCUACCCUUGACAUGGUCGGAAUCCUGCUGAGAGGCGGGAGUGCUCGAAAG
rnacentral:rRNA from 1 species